rnacentral:tRNA from 1 species
GCCCGCCUAGCUCAAUCGGAUAGAGCGUCAGACUCUUACGGCGGCGGGGCCACAUACGUCACGUGAUCAAGGGAUCUGAAGGCUGCGAGUUCGACCGUCGCGGUGGGCU